rnacentral:rRNA from 1 species
AGAGUUUGAUCAUGGCUCAGAAUCAACGCUGGCGGCGCGCUUAACACAUGCAAGUCGAACGAGAAAGCCCAGCAAUGGGUGAGUAAAGUGGCGUACGGGUGAGUAACACGUGGGUGAUCUACUCUUUGGUGGGGAAUAACCCUGGGAAACCGGGGCUAAUACCGCAUAAGCCCCCGAGUCAAAUCGGGGGGAAAGGUGCAAAUCGCCGAAGAAGGAGCCCGCGGCUGAUUAGCUAGUUGGUGGGGUAAAGGCUCACCAAGGCGAAGAUCGGUAGCCGGCCUGAGAGGGCACACGGCCACACUGGCACUGAAACACGGGCCAGACUCCUACGGGAGGCAGCAGUGGGGAAUCUUGCACAAUGGGGGCAACCCUGAUGCAGCGACGCCGCGUGAGCGAUGAAGCCCUUCGGGGUGUAAAGCUCUUUCGGCAGGAACGAUAAUGACGGUACCUGAAGAAGAAGCUGCGGCUAACUACGUGCCAGCAGCCGCGGUAAUACGUAGGCAGCGAGCGUUGUUCGGAGUUACUGGGCGUAAAGCGUGCGUAGGCGGUCUUGUAAGUCUGGUGUGAAAUCUCCCGGCUCAACUGGGAGGGUGCGCCGGAAACUGCAAGGCUGGAGUAUGGGAGAGGUAGGCGGAAUUCCUGGUGUAGCGGUGAAAUGCGUAGAUAUCAGGAGGAACACCUGUGGUGUAGACGGCUUACUGGACCAUGACUGACGCUGAGGCACGAAAGCGUGGGGAGCAAACAGGAUUAGAUACCCCAGUAGUCC